ensembl:lncRNA LINC02995 long intergenic non-protein coding RNA 2995
GACUUCCCAUGGGCAGGGUGGAGUGCUGGGAGCAUUGAUUCAAUUCUUCCCUUGAGCACUCUUCACCCCCAUCUCUCUCCAGAAAUGUACCGAGAGUCUAACUGCUCUAUACUCUGGGAGGAACACGAACAUGAUUCCACCUCAGUUCCAAGCUUUCUGAGAACCAUCCUGGGAACCAGCAAGCAUGACAACUCUCCACCUUCUGCAUCAGUCACUUGCAAGGAGGCCAGUGGGCACAGUUCAUGCUACUGAGUGAGAUGGCGCCCAGAGGCCAAGGCCAAGGGCAGGGCUGCAUUUUCUGGUUCUUUUAUAUUUGUAGCAAGAUACUCUUAGUGGAAGAGCCCAAUAUCUGGGCUUGCCUAAAAGUCUCCUUAGCUAGAUCAUUCAAUUUAUGAGCUUUCCAUCUUGUUGCAGUGUUGCUUAAUUUCUGCCUCUCCAUAACAAGAAUCACCUUUCUUCCAGUCUCUAAUGCAUUGUUCUCACUUUCCUAUAAACCCUCACCAACAUUCUCCUCCCACUACUGGCUUCUCCAGUGCCCUUUAGGCUUUCUCUGACACUUUCUUCAAAGUCCUUUCAGCUUCUGCCCUCUGCUCAGUUCCAAAGACGCUCCCACAUUGGUAGGUUUAUGUUCCAUCAGCACCCCACUUCUGGUACUAAGCUUUAUAUCAGCUAUCUACUGUUAGGCAACAGCCAAAACUUAGUGACUUAAAACAGACACAAACAUAUAUUAUCUUUCACAGUCUCUGUGAGUCGGGAAUUCAGGAACAGCUUAGCUGGGUGUUCUGGCUCCAGGUCUCUCAUGAGGUUGCAGUCUAGAUAUGAGCUGGGACAGUGGUCAUCUGAAGGCUGGAAUGAGGCUGGAGGAUCCACUUCCAAGGUGGCUGACUCAGAUGGUUGGCAAGUUGGUGCCGGCUGCGGCAAAGGCCUUGUUUUCUCUCCAGGUGGACCUCUCCACAAGGCUACUUGAGCAGCCUCACAACAUGGUAGCUGCUUCCCCAGGGCAAGUGAUCCAAGAGCAAAGGUUGAAGUCACAAUGCCCUUAUGACUUAGCCUUGGAUGUGACACACCAUCACUUCUGCAGUAUUCUACUGGUAACACUGACCAGCUCUGAUUCAGUUUGAGAAAAGAGGACACAAAAGCAUGAAUAACAGGAGGAUGGAUAUAGAAUACCAGCAUCAGCAAGUGUACACGAUUUAAAGCACAUUUGGUAUCUAUUACCAAGCUGCCCUUCAGAGAGGUUGUCUCGUUACACAUUCCACAGCUGUGACUGAGAAACCGUCUUGUCGCAUUUGACAAUCCAGGUUACUAUCUAAAAACUUGAGUUUGUAAGAGCAACACGCCAUGAGAUAAUAUUCGUGCAAAUGUAACUGACAAAAGACUAACAUCCCAUAAUACUAGAGCACCUACAAACCAAGAAGAUAAACAUCCCAUUGGGAAAGUGUAAAAAUAUGAACAUAAAGUUUACAGAAGAAAAAACACAAAUGGCUCAUAAACACACAAAAAGAUGAUAUUGCUUCCUGGUAAUUGGGGAAAUGCAAACAAAAACUACAAUGAAAUAUCGUGGUAUCGUGUAUCAAAUUUGCAGAGCAUAAAAUAGAUUACAUUCGCAACCAGCAACUACAACCCAACCUUCAGCCUCACUGGACUUCUUGCCAUUCCCCAAACCAUAUCCACGCCCCUCUCCACAGGCUGUUCCUUCUGCCUGCAUGCCCUCGAUGGCACCAAGGGGGAUGGGCACACUAACACAACUGCUGGGAAUGGGAAAGUUUCAACCUCUUGGGAAUAAAAUCUAACAGUAUU